GGGGUAAAGGCCUACCAAGGCGACGAUCAGUAGCUGGUCUGAGAGGACGAUCAGCCACACUGGGACUGAGACACGGCCCAGACUCCUACGGGAGGCAGCAGUGGGGAAUUUUGGACAAUGGGCGAAAGCCUGAUCCAGCAAUGCCGCGUGUGUGAAGAAGGCCUUCGGGUUGUAACGCACUUUUGUCCGGAAAGAAAUGGCUCUGGUUAAUACCCGGAGUUGAUGACGGUACCGGAAGAAUAAGGACCGGCUAACUACGUGCCAGCAGCCGCGGUAAUACGUAGGGUCCAAGCGUUAAUCGGAAUUACUGGGCGUAAAGCGUGCGCAGGCGGUUGUGCAAGACCGAUGUGAAAUCCCCGGGCUUAACCUGGGAAUUGCAUUGGUGACUGCACGGCUAGAGUGUGUCAGAGGGAGGUAGAAUUCCACGUGUAGCAGUGAAAUGCGUAGAGAUGUGGAGNGANAUACCGACGGCGAAGGCAGCCUCCUGGGACAACACUGACGCUCAUGCACGAAAGCGNCGGCAUCAAACAGGAUUAGAUACCCUGGUAGUCCACGCCCUAAACGAUGUCAACUAGUUGUUGGGGAUUCAUUUCCUUAGUAACGUAGCUAACGCGUGAAGUUGACCGCCUGGGGAGUNACGGUCGCANANGAUUAAAACUCAAAGGAAUUGACGGGGACCCGCACAAGCGGUGGAUGAUGUGGAUUAAUUCGAUGCAACGCGAAAAACCUUACCUACCCUUGACAUGCCACUAACGAAGCAAAGAUGCAUUAGGUGCUCGAAAGAGAAAGUGGACACAGGUGCUGCAUGGCUGUCGUCAGCUCGUGUCGUGAGAUGUUGGGUUAAGUCCCGCAACGAGCGCAACCCUUGUCUCUAGUUGCUACGAAAGGGCACUCUAGAGAGACUGCCGGUGACAAACCGGAGGAAGGUGGGGAUGACGUCAAGUCCUCAUGGCCCUUAUGGAUAGGGCUUCACACCUCAUACAAUGGUGCAUACAAAGGGUUGCCGACCUGCGUGGUAUUUUUUUAUCUCAGAGCAUA
rnacentral:rRNA from 1 species